AAAUGGCAGUUGGAUAAAAGAGGGAAAUCCCAUUGUGCCCAGAGAAGAGUCACAUCCCAAGGAGAAAGACUGCUUGAAAAUAUUGUUUUUUGGCUCUCCAUCCAAUUUUUCAGAACAGGGAAAUAACUAUCCCCACCAUUCUGAGGGAACCUAAUGCCCAAUUAAGUCCAGAAUAGUGCAAGCCUGCCUAGAUACAGCAGACAUGAUAUUGGGAGAACAAGUGUGCAGGCUAGUUUCUUCACUCUCCCCAGUAUGCUUCUUCCAAUGGACUACCUGGAAAUGACUCAGGCCUCGUUCCCUGAAGGAGCUCCGGUCUGCAUGACACUAACCCAAAACAAUCCCAAAGAUCAGCCCCACAGACCAAAGUCCAGGUCUAUGCUACAGUCUCUGCUGUACAUUCUCGCUUCAUGGAACUUCAUGCUGCUUGAAGACGGGAGACCGAGGGAGAGUGAACCUUAACAACAAAUUUUCAAACUUUGCGGACACAAGGACUCCAGUUAGCAUCAGAAAGACACAGAGUUUGAUCUGGUCACCUAUCAGAAAUCAUCUUCUAUUUUGGAAUAAAGAACUUUCACUGUGGAA